rnacentral:rRNA from 1 species
CGGGUGAGUAACGCGUGGGUGACCUGCCUUCCAGCGGGGGAUAACGUUCCGAAGGGGACGCUAAUACCGCGUAACAUCCUGCCUUUGAAUACGUGGAGAUCAAAGCUGGGGAUCGCAAGACCUAGCACUCGUGAGGGGCCCGCGUCCGAUUAGCUAGUUGGUGAGGUAACGGCUCACCAAGGCGACGAUCGGUAGCCGGCCUGAGAGGGCGGACGGCCACACUGGGACUGAUACACGGCCCAGACUCCUACGGGAGGCAGCAGUGGGGAAUUGUUCGCAAUGGGCGCAAGCCUGACGACGCAACGCCGCGUGGAGGAUGAAGAUCUUCGGGUCGUAAACUCCUGUCGAAUGGGACGAACGGACUGUGGGUGAACAAUCCGCAGUCGUGACAGUACCGUUAAAGGAAACCCCGGCUAACUCCGUGCCAUCAGCCGCGGUAAUACUGGGGGGGUAAGCGUUGUUCAGAAUUACUGGGCGUACAGGGCUCGUAAGCGGCCAACUAAGUCGAACAUGAAAUCCCUCGGCUUAACUGGGGAACUGCUUCUGAUACUGGAUGGCUUGAAUUUGGGAGAGGGAUGCGGAAUUCCACUGUGUACCGGUGAAAUGCGUAGAUAUCUGGAGGAAC